rnacentral:rRNA from 1 species
GAGGGUUUGAUCCUGGCUCAGAUUGAACGCUGGCGGCAGGCCUAACACAUGCAAGUCGAGCGGAUGAAGGGAGCUUGCUCCUGGAUUCAGCGGCGGACGGGUGAGUAAUGCCUAGGAAUCUGCCUGGUAGUGGGGGAUAACGUCCGGAAACGGGCGCUAAUACCGCAUACGUCCUGAGGGAGAAAGUGGGGGAUCUUCGGACCUCACGCUAUCAGAUGAGCCUAGGUCGGAUUAGCUAGUUGGUGGGGUAAAGGCCUACCAAGGCGACGAUCCGUAACUGGUCUGAGAGGAUGAUCAGUCACACUGGAACUGAGACACGGUCCAGACUCCUACGGGAGGCAGCAGUGGGGAAUAUUGGACAAUGGGCGAAAGCCUGAUCCAGCCAUGCCGCGUGUGUGAAGAAGGUCUUCGGAUUGUAAAGCGCUUUAAGUUGGGAGGAAGGGCAGUAAGUUAAUACCUUGCUGUUUUGACGUUACCAACAGAAUA